AAAGCUCACUAGGAGAAUCAAUGUCCGAAUUGUAGUAAGGAGAAGUAUCCUCGGUGGCGGGUCGUGCCUUAGUCCCUUAGAAUGGGGCGCCAGAGAGGGUGAGAGCCUCGUCAUGCCUAGACCUUGUCACACCACAAGGCGCUGUCAGCAAUUUGGGUUGUUUGGGAAUGCAACCCCAAUUGGGCAGUAAGUGUCGUCCAAGGCUAAAUACUGGCGAGAGACUGAUAGCAAAAGAGUACCGCGACA
rnacentral:ncRNA from 1 species